UCAAUCAUUAAUCAUAUUUUUUGUGUAUCUUGUAAGAUCCUUCUUUCCCCAGUAAUUAUUGUUGACACCACUUUCAGAUCUCUGUCCAUGGUUGAUUAAUUAUUUGUUAAUUAUUCUCUCAUUUGUCAGUACUUUUGUAGAUUUAUUUGGCAUUUUCAAGUAUUUCAAUAGGCUCAUAGCAUCCAUUAAGGUUGAUCAGUUAAUUAGAUCUUUCCACUGUAUCUUCUAUUGGUUAAUGUGUUUCUUCGUAAAGGUAAGUUUAAAACAUGACAAUUUCAGGUACUUGCAUUGGCCACUCAUAACAUUCUGACAAUGUUGGUUUAGAGUUGACAUAACUUCUUAUUAUAUCUUUACUUCUACUGCCAUUGCCUUUGUAGCGCAGUAGCAAAAUACAACUAUAUUUUAUGGCAGUUUCUAUUUGCGAUCUAUGAAUCUAUUUCUAAAUUUUACCUAUUCAUCAUAACAUUAUUCAGUAUCACUCAUUCAUUCUAAUGCUAUAUUUCGGUUUGCGAAUUAUCAUCACCUACUGCUACUCGUACCAUUUCCCUAAUAUUUCUGCUUAUUACUGUCUAAUCAUCAUUUAGUGAUGGCCUUUUUGCUCAACAAGUGAUAGUUGAAAUCCAAUAGAUGAAAAUGGAUGGAUACUUGUGGAAUCAUAAUCAACAUCCAUAUAAAUACUUCAAGAAUUGCAGUUAACCCGGGCUCCCCUUAUUUUGUUUCCUUUACAUUAGAGAAAUUUAGAUUAUGUUCUUUCUUAUACCAAGUCAUUCUGAAUAUUUUAUUUCUUAUAUGUUUUUGAAAUAAAUUUGGUGUAGUUAUUGCUUUGAAAGUAGAGAAUAAUUGUAAAAGAAAAUGACACUGCAAGUUUGGAACUUACAAUUCGUGGUUUUGAACCAUAGGUGAGCUCGAUUGGAGUCACUGGUGCUCGUGUAUCUGUUAGUGGAAAGGUUCAAACUCUUCUACAGGAUAUUAAACAGGUUUGUCUUCUAUAGCAUCGCAUACCAAACCUUAAAAUGUAAUAGAACUAUCUUGUAUCUCAGUAUGAAAAAGGUAUGGUGUCCUUUUAAAGACACGACACAGUCAUGCCAUUAGGUAGAUUAAGACCAAUUGCAACUGUUUAACUUAUGUUUCAUGCUAUUCACACUUGUUUGGGUGAGCAACUGAAGUAUGUGGUGCAGACAUGGAUAGACUUGCCCUUUCAUCCCAACUUAUCGGAAUUGCUGCAUUUUUCGGGCCUUGAUACAACAUUUGGAUAGGCUUUCAAAUAAUGUGAAAUUGUAAUGAGAUGCGUAGUAUUGCGUAAUGCCUAGUAUCAUGAUUUUAGUCUUGAUCACGUGUUAAUUCCACUUUGUCUGGAAUGGCAUUUGAAUGUCUGACUUGUAGACUAGUCCUAUUUAGAGCCAUAGAUUUAUGAUGUGAUUGGUUUCUAUUGUGUUUUGGUGCUUUUUGACAGGCAACAAGUAAGCCUGUAGCAGUUGGCUUUGGCAUAUCAAAACCCGAGCAUGUGAAGCAGAUGGCAGGAUGGGGAGCUGACGGCGUGAUUGUUGGUAGUGCCAUGGUGAAACUACUGAGUGAGGCAAAAUCCCCUGAAGAAGGGCUGAAAGAAUUAGAAAUCUUCACUAAAUUGUUGAAAUCUGCACUGCCUUGGCGGCUAGUUCUGCCAUUUCAGAGUCAAUUUUGUAUCUUUAGCAUCACAUCUUUUUAGACUUUCAAAAUCAUCCGAAUUUUGAGUUUUUGUACAAAUUGGAUUCAAGCUUUUGACAAUGCUUCAUUUUAAAUUGAAAUAAUUCCAUCAAUGGAAACAUUAACUUCAGUAUACGCUCAAUUACUAUAAUGAUACCCAUGUUAUGUAAUCUCUACCCGAGCUUAAGUUUUUAACUCAAUUUGCAAUAAAAAUACGGCCUUCCGCUAAAUGUUUUCAUAAAUAUAGUUUAUUGAAAUUAUAGGCAAGCCUAACAAUUCCAUUAUAUUUGAACAUGUAAUCAUGCAAAGAAAUUCAGAAAGACAAACAACUAAGUGAAAAAAAGUGAUUCCGGAUACAAAACU